rnacentral:misc_RNA from 1 species
AAAACAACGAAAGUAGUUGUUUGUGGAAUGAAAGGAGUAGGCAAGACAGCGUUAUUGGAACAGCUCAUAUAUGGAAACGUCAAUGUCAAGACAGUAAGAGUUUAGGUUAUGUUUGUAUACAACGUACUGCAAAAUAACACAUUCCCGAAAUUCAUCCAACAAUCGAGGAUAUUUAUGUUGCGAACAUAGAAACAGACCGUGGUACUAAAGAAAAAGUACGGUUUUAUGACACGGCAGGACUAGAAUCUCUUCAGAGUAAUGCAAAUAACCAGCAACUACCCCGGCAUUAUCUUGGUUUUGCUGAUGGUUAUGUAUUAGUUUAUGACA